rnacentral:rRNA from 1 species
UACGUAGGGGGCAAGCGUUGUCCGGAUUUAUUGGGCGUAAAGAGCGUGUAGGCGGCCAUACAAGUCUGCUGUGAAAACUCGAGGCUCAACCUCGAGCUGUCGGUGGAAACUGUCUGGCUAGAGUCCGGAAGAGGAGAGUGGAAUUCCUGGUGUAGAGGUGAAAUGCGCAGAUAUCAGGAAGAACACCUAUGGCGAAGGCAGCUCUCUGGGACGGUACUGACGCUGAGACGCGAAAGCGUGGGGAGCGAACAGG